CCCCACCUCCCACCGACGAUCCCCAAUUCCGGCCGCAUGGUCGCCUGUCGCCGGGUGCUGCUCCGUCCCGAGCACCGUCGGUGACUUUGUCGCCUGCUCAAGCCCGCCCCUCUUCAUUCCUCUCCCCAUUGUUGUCCAACGCCCCGAGCUCCCAUCGCGCCGCAGACCACAUACUCCUCCUGAAUCCCGAUGCACCGCCCGCGCGUGCCCACAUCUUGCCCGGUUGUCCACCCACGCGUCUCCUACCAAGGGGUCCGGCGAGCAGGGCCGGCAGCCAUGGCGAACUGCCAUGGGAGGGGCCAAUCCAAGCUGGCUCAGGCACGUUGAUCUGGCCUCCUUUGGGGCUCGACGGUGGCGCAGCAAGCCCAGUCGCGACGGAUGCGGCCAGUCUCGGCCAUCGCGGGAUCAUGCUGAUGACGUUUGGCAUGUCCGUGUAAGUGCCCACUACUGCUGAUCGGACAGAGGAAAGAAGAGAGGGCGCGGCGGCGGGAGCCUAGCGUCGUCGUCUGAGUCCAUGAGCGGCCCCACGCGCUCGAUGCCCAGUAGGUCGCCGAAUGCCGUGGCACGGGCUCAAGGGAUAGUCAGGGGUAAGGCCCCCACGCAAUGGAGGCCGUAAUCGACAUCGGCGACAGAGAACGGACGGAGGAUCACUUUGUGCGUGCUUUGGCUGGCGUCUUGGUCUGUCCGAUCUCAUCUUAUCUUCCAUCUUGAGAUGACUCUUGGUUGCGUUGGGGGGAGAUGCAGGGGAGGGUGAGGAGGCCAACGACAGGGUGAAGUAGCAGCCCGGCGAGGAGAGCAACAUGAUGUUUUGCACGUUCUCUUUCCUUGGUCUUCUUGUGGCUUUUUUCUUCAUCUCAUUAUUGACCAGUGCAUUGUUUAUGUGUGUAUAUCUAUCUUCUCCUUUUUUUUAUUCUCAUGAACUGAUGUGUGUACAGGGUAAGCUUAUUCUUCUCUCUAGAAUUUAUGGAUGAGCUAAUGGCCUUGGUUAUAUGUUUGUUCAGUCCACCUAAAGGAACAAAGUUUGCACCCUUUGACUGGUUUUAUUGGAAAAUCUGACAAAAAAUAUGAUUUGAUCCCUCUGCUUCCACAUGACAAUUGUUGGUCCAGAUACCGUAUUGUCUCAUGUCCUCUGUUGCAGUUUGUAGCUUAGAGUUUUAAGACUGGGCACUGUAGUGUUGUCUGUUAUGGCUGAUUGAUGUUGUUGGCGACCUUAAGAUCAGAUUAAUUCCUGCAGUCAAUAGCUCCAGUGCAGAGUAUAUGUGCAAUGAAGUAAUGUAGCGAGCACUGUAUGGUGGAGGAGAAUUUCUCAUGAAUUUUGUACAACAUUCAAAUUAUCAUCCAAAAAAAUGUGUAUGUUGUCUCUCAAUAGGUACAUAUGCAAAUUUAUCUUUUUGUUGGUUGUUUGUUGCUUCUUGCAGCAUCCCGAGUACAUAUGUGAGACUAUGGGAGUCCUUUUUUGUGUAAUGAUGAGAGGAAUAUGACAGGGCAAACAAUUGUACCAUGUGAACAUAAUCGCUGGGAUAUGCCGGUCAAUACAGGAAAAUCUAAAAGAAUGCGACUAAAAUCACCAUUUGAAGAUGUUCAAAAUCAAACAAGAUGACUACCUAAAGUACGAGCCUCGGAAAUCGUAAGAAGCAGAAGUUAUUGGUACUUGCUCACACUCAUUUCUCAUGUUGAUGCUCAGGCAUAACCUCACAAAGCUUUGGCACACACUCACUUAUAAUCAGGGCUCGCUUAAUUUUAUCUUUCUAACUCUUUUGAGAAAUACCAUAUCAAUAUUAUUUGUGAUGACUUGUCGGUCAUAAUUUCCAGUCAUGUAAUAUCCCAUCAUAUUAUUGGUAUUAGGCGUUAGCCAGAUGCUAAUCUUCGGUUGGCUGUGAA